GAAUCCCGUAUAUGGCACGGACUGCCGUUGCUCUGCGAUACACUCUCAACGAGUCAAGUUGUUUGGGAAUGCAGCUCCAAGUGGGUGGUAAAUGCCAUCUAAAGCUAAAUAUUGGCGAGAGACCGAUAGCGAACAAGUACCGUGAGGGAAAGAUGAAAAGCACUUUGGAAAGAGAGUGAAACAGUACGUGAAAUUGUUGAAAGGGAAACACUUGAAGUCAGUCGCGCCGUUCGGGACUCAGCCUUGCUUCUGCUUGGUUUACUUCCCGUUGGGUGGGUCAACAUCAGUUUUGGUCGGAGGAGAAAGGCCUGUGGAAGGUAGCAGCUUUGCUGUGUUAUAGCCACCUGUUGUAUACUUCGACUGGGACUGAGGAUCGCAGCACGCCUUUGGCCGGGGCUUUGCCCACGUACGUGCUUAGGAUGUUGGCAUAAUGGCUUUAAGUGACCCGUCUUGAAACACGGACCAAGGAGUCUAACAUGUGCGCGAGUGUUUGGGUGUUAAACUCGGACGCGAAAUGAAAGUAACAAGUUGGGAACACUUUUGUGUGCACCGACGCCCGGAGCUGACCUUCUGUGACGCAUCUGCGGUAGAGCGUAUAUGUUGGGACCCGAAAGAUGGUGAACUAUGCCUGAAUAGGGUGAAGCCAGAGGAAACUCUGGUGGAGGCUCGUAGCGAUUCUGACGUGCAAAUCGAUCGUCAAAUUUGGGUAUAGGGGCGAAAGACUAAUCGAACCAUCUAGUAGCUGGUUCCUGCC
rnacentral:rRNA from 1 species